UCUUAUUGGAAAUGUUUCUUUUACCACAGGUGGCACGACGUCUAAAAAGAAAAAAUACACAAUUUGGAAAUACAAGAAAAUACCAAUUCCUCCGCGAAGUACCUAGAGAAACGUCUGGCGGAUUUUUGAAUACUGGAUCUCUAUUCUAAAUUCCUACAUAAAAAUCAAUGACAGAAUAAAAGUGAAUUCCGAGGGAAAUAUUUGAUAGAAACUAACAGUUAUAAUACUCGUUGAAUUAUAAUUUGGAAUGAGUGAGAUCUUAAAGUCCAAUAACUUUCUUAAAGUUAAUCAUUGAUCAAUGAAUUAUAGGGAAGAGAAACGAAAGAGAAACUGCUUUGUAUAAUAAAACAACAAACUGCA
rnacentral:lncRNA from 1 species